rnacentral:rRNA from 1 species
GCAGUAGCCGCGGGAAUACAGAGGGUGCGAGCGUUAAUCGGAUUUACUGGGCGUAAAGCGUGCGUAGGCGGCUUUUUAAGUCGGAUGUGAAAUCCCUGAGCUUAACUUAGGAAUUGCAUUCGAUACUGGGAAGCUAGAGUAUGGGAGAGGAUGGUAGAAUUCCAGGUGUAGCGGUGAAAUGCGUAGAGAUCUGGAGGAAUACCGAUGGCGAAGGCAGCCAUCUGGCCUAAUACUGACGCUGAGGUACGAAAGCAUGGGGAGCAAACAGGAUUAGAUACCCCUGUAGUCCCUGUCUCUUAUAU